rnacentral:rRNA from 1 species
CAGUAGCCGCGGUAAGACAGAGGAUGCAAGCGUUAUCCGGAAUGAUUGGGCGUAAAGCGUCUGUAGGUGGCUUUUCAAGUCCGCCGUCAAAUCCCAGGGCUCAACCUUGGACAGGCGGUGGAAACUACCAAGCUGGAGUACGGUAGGGGCAGAGGGAAUUUCCAGUGGAGCGGUGAAAUGCGUUGAGAUCGAAAAGAACACCAACAGCGAAAGCACUCUGCUGGGACGACACUGACACUAAGAGACGAAAGCUAGGGGAGCAGAUGGGAUUAGAGACCCCCGUAGUCCCUGUCUCUUAUAC